AUUGAACGCUAGCGGGAUGCUUUACACAUGCAAGUCGAACGAGUGGCGGACGGGUGAGUAAUAUAUCGGAACGUGCCCAGUAGCUGGGGAUAACUACUCGCAAGUGUGGCUAAUACCUCAUACUAUUGGAGCUGCCGAUAUCGGAUUAGCUAGUUGGUUGGGUAAAGGCUCACCAAGGCAACGAUCCGUAGCUGGUUUGAGAGGACGACAAGCCACACUGGGACUGAGAAACGGCCCAGAAUCCGACGGGAGGCAGCAGUGGGGAAUUUUGGACAAUGGGGGAAACCCUGAUGCAGACAGCCCGCGUGUAGGAGAAGGACUGCGGGUUUUAAAGUACUUUUGGCAGAGAAGCGGUAUCUGCAGAAGAAGCACCGGCUAACUACGUGCCAGCAGCCGCGGUAAUAC
rnacentral:rRNA from 1 species